UCCCAGAUUUCUGUGGCAGAUGAUGAUGAU
rnacentral:piRNA from 1 species